rnacentral:rRNA from 1 species
GAUCCUGGCUCAGGAUGAACGCUAGCUACAGGCUUAACACAUGCAAGUCGAGGGGCAGCAGAUCGAAAGCUUGCUUCGAUGCUGGCGACCGGCGCACGGGUGAGUAACGCGUAUCCAACCUUCCCUAUAGUAGAGAAUAGCCCGGCGAAAGUCGGAUUAAUGCUCUAUGUUGUAUUUAGAGGACAUCUGAAGAAUACCAAAGGUUUACCGCUAUAGGAUGGGGAUGCGUCUGAUUAGGUUGUUGGCGGGUAACGGCCCACCAAGCCUACGAUCAGUAGGGGUUCUGAGAGGAAGGUCCCCCACAUUGGAACUGAGACACGGUCCAAACUCCUACGGGAGGCAGCAGUGAGGAAUAUUGGUCAAUGGACGCAAGUCUGAACCAGCCAAGUAGCGUGCCAGGAUGACGGCCCUAUGGGUUGUAAACUGCUUUUAUACAGGGAUAAAGUGAGGGACGUGUCCCUUUUUGUAGGUACUGUAUGAAUAAGGACCGGCUAAUUCCGUGCCAGCAGCAGC